rnacentral:rRNA from 1 species
GACGAACGCUGGCGUCGUGCCUAAUACAUGCAAGUAGGACGCAGUUGCGAACGGGUGAGUACCGCGUCUGUCACUACCUAUUAGAGUGGGAUAACUCUUGGAAACGAUAGCUAAUACCGCAUACUAGUAGAUGGACCUGCGUUGUAUUAGCUAGUAGGUAGGGUAAUGGCCUACCUAGGCAACGAUACAUAGCCGACCUGAGGGGGUGAUCGGCAACACUGGGACUGAGACACGGCCCGGACUCCGACGGGAGGCAGCAGUAGGGAAUCUUCGGCAAUGGGGGGAACCGUGACCGAGCAACGCAGCGUGAGUGAAGAAGGUUUUCGGAUCGUAAAGCUCUGUUGUUAAGGAAGCGGUACUUAACCAGAAAGGGACGGCUAACUACGUGCCAGCAGCCGCGGUAAUUC